UACGAAGGGGGCUAGCGUUGCUCGGAAUCACUGGGCGUAAAGCGCACGUAGGCGGACUCUUAAGUCAGGGGUGAAAUCCUGGAGCUCAACUCCAGAACUGCCUUUGAUACUGGGAGCCUUGAGUUCGGGAGAGGUGAGUGGAACUGCGAGUGUAGAGGUGAAAUUCGUAGAUAUUCGCAAGAACACCAGUGGCGAAGGCGGCUCACUGGCCCGAUACUGACGCUGAGGCGCGAAAGCCAGGGGAGCAAACGGG
rnacentral:rRNA from 1 species